GGACGAGGUGCUAUUGUCACGACAUUCAUAGUGUGCUAUGCUCUUACCUCGUUCAUUUCUGGCUAUGUGAGUGGCGGUCUCUACUCAAGGAGUGGUGGAAAAAACUGGAUAAAGUCAAUGGUCCUCACGGCAUCAUUGUUUCCAUUCAUGUGCUUUGGGAUCGGCUUCGUACUUAACACAAUUGCUAUAUUCUAUGGAUCGCUA
rnacentral:misc_RNA from 1 species